rnacentral:rRNA from 1 species
UUCCGGUUGAUCCUGCCGGAGGCUACCGCUAUUGGAGUUCGAUUAAGCCAUGCGAGUCGCGAGAAAUUAGAUUCUCGGCGUACCGCUCAGUAACACGUGGGUAACCUGCCCUAUGCUGGAUAAUAACCUCGGGAAACUGAGAAUAAUGAUCCAUAGUUCACUACGCCUGGAACGGUGAGUGGAUGAAAGCUCCGGCGGCAUAGGAUGGGCCUGCGGCGUAUCAGGUUGUAGGGGGUGUAACGUACCCUCUAGCCCUCUACGCGUACGGGUGUUGGGAGACAUAGCCCGGAGAUGGAUUCUGAGACACGAAUCCAGACCCUACGGGGUGCAGCAGGCGCGAAAACUUGGCAAUGCGAGAAAUCGUGACCAGGGAACUCCAAGUGCAUCGGGUAAGACCGGUGCUUUUCUUGACUCUAAAUAGGUCUUGGAAUAAGGGGUGGGUAAGGACGGUGCCAGCCGCCGCGGUAAUACCGGCGCCUCAAGUGGUAGUCGCUUUUAUUGGGCCUAAAACGUCCGUAGCCGGUCUGAUACAUUCGUGGGUAAAUCAACCAGCUUAACUGGUUGAAUUCUGCGAGGACGGUCAGACUUGGGACCGGGAGAGGUGUGGGGUACGCUCAGGGUAGGGGUAAAAUCCUGUCAUCCUGAGCGGACCACCUGUUGCGAAGGCGCCACACUAGAACGGAUCCGACGGUCAGGGACGAAGCCUAGGGGCACGAACCGGAUUAGAUACCCGGGUAGUCCUAGGUGUAAACGCUGUGGACUUGAUGUUGGGGGUGCUCCGAGCACUCUCAGUGUCGAAGCGAAGGUGAUAAGUCCACUGCCUGGGAAGUACGGUCGCAAGGCUGAAACUUAAAGGAAUUGGCGGGGGAGCACCGCAACCUGAGGAUUGUGCGGUUUAAUUGGACUCAACGCCGGGA